rnacentral:rRNA from 1 species
GACGAACGCUGGCGGCGUGCUUAACACAUGCCAGUCGAACGGAAAGGCUCCAGCUUGCUGGAGUGCUCGAGUGGCGAACGGGUGAGUAACACGUGGGCAAUCUGCCCUGCACUCUGGGAUAAGCCUGGGAAACUGGGUCUAAUACCGGAUAGGACCUUUCUCCUCAUGGGGUUUGGUGGAAAGUUUUUCGGUGCAGGAUGAGCCCGCGGCCUAUCAGCUUGUUGGUGGGGUAAUGGCCUACCAAGGCGACGACGGGUAGCCGGCCUGAGAGGGUGAUCGGCCACAUUGGGACUGAGAUACGGCCCAGACUCCUACGGGAGGCAGCAGUGGGGAAUAUUGCACAAUGGGCGAAAGCCGGAUGCAGCGACGCCGCGUGAGGGAUGACGGCCUUCGGGUUGUAAACCUCUUUCAGUAGGGACGAAGCGCAAGUGACGGUACCUGCAGAAGAAGCACCGGCUAACUACGUG